rnacentral:rRNA from 1 species
UACAGAGGGUGCAAACGUUGUUCGGAUUUACUGGGCGUAAAGCGUGCGUAGACGGUUACAUAAGUCGGGUGUGAAAGCCCCGGGCUCAACCUGGGAAUUGCAUUCGAGACUGCGUAGCUAGGGUGCGGAAGAGGGAAGCGGAAUUUCCGGUGUAGCGGUGAAAUGCGUAGAUAUCGGAAGGAACACCAGUGGCGAAAGCGGCUUCCUGGUCCAGCACCGACGUCAGGCACGAAAGCGUGGGGAGCAAACAGG